rnacentral:rRNA from 15 species
CUGUGAGGGGCCGUGGAGGUAUCGGAAGUGCGAAUGAUGACAUGAGUAGCGACAAAAAGUGUGAGAGACACUUUCGCCGAAAGUCCAAGGGUUCCUGCGCAAUGCUAAUCAGCGCAGGGUUAGCCGGCCCCUAAGGCGAGGCCGAAAGGCGUAGUCGAUGGGAACGGGGCGAACAUUCCCCGGCCAGCGGAUGGUGACGGAUGCCGUGUAUCGUUUGACCUUAUCGGAUUGGUCAGGCGGUGAAGGGGUCCCAGGAAAUAGCCUCCGCGUAAGACCGUACCCUAAACCGACACAGGUGGACUGGUAGAGUAUACCAAGGCGCUUGAGAGAACUAUGCUGAAGGAACUCGGCAAUUUGCCUCCGUAACUUCGGGAUAAGGAGGCCUGACUUUUACGCAAGUGAGAGUCAGGGGCACAGACCAGGGGGUGGCGACUGUUUAUCUAAAACACAGGGCUCUGCGAAGUCUGUAAGACGACGUAUAGGGCCUGACGCCUGCCCGGUGCCGGAAGGUUAAGAGGAGAGGU